CACAGCUCUGGUUCUGAGCUGUGUUUGGAAAAUCCUUCUGUCACAGCUCUGUUUAAAUAAAUACAACAAGCUCUCUAGGACUGUACGGUGAAUCUAUUCUAGUUCUUGUUGGCUGAUUUCUUUGGAUCUGCUAAGAAGGUGAUAACAUCAGUUUUGUUUCUUUUUAACGCUUUAAAGGAAGCUUUGUGUGAUUUUUGCCAAUGCUGUGAGAAGUUUAGAAAAGAGGUAGGGAGGUGAUUUGAACUGUGGCUUCCACACCUCUUUUUGAGGGACCACAACAGGGUCUGGUUGUGCAGCACCUAGGUCAGAUUCUGCUGCCCAUAUUAUGCAGGCAGCCUCCAGCCUUCAAAUGGACUGCGCCACAGAGCUUGAGAGCAAUGGGCAGCUCUGAGAAAACCGGAUGGUUUUAACCCUGAGUGCAGUCUGAAAACCAAAUGGUCCAAAUAGCUGCAGAAUGAUUAAUAGUCCCAAAAUGCCUGAAGCAAAGAGCAAGAUGGCAGCCACAGCCACUUGGGAUCUGUGAGAUCUGAAUUUUCCCAGGGAUCUGCUGGAGGGUAUGGCCUGUGGACCUGUACAUCUUGGUGGUCUGUGGCAGAGCAAAUCUCAACUUGAUCAAAUCAGCAGCAGAGCCUCAAGAAUUACGUGGGCACGUAAUGACCACUGAUUUCGUGAAACUGGUGCUAACGAGUGCUGGUUCCCAGAGCUCAGCUCAUUGCAUCAAGCAGCGAUGGCACUUGCUUUCUAAAGACACAAACAAUCCUUGGACUGGAUUCGGUAGGGAACACGUGCCAGCUCUUUUUGAAACAGCCUCCCCAGCAACAGCAGAUUUUGCCCAUCUUCCUUCCAUUUAUUUUGUUUUUGUAAAUAACGACGACGACCCCAGAGCUGUGUGGAUGUCCAGGCGGCACCUUACUGGCAUCCUCAGCAGACGGGGUGCUGUCAGUUUGUGCUCUGCGUGCCAGUGAGGUGUGCUCCCCUCCACCUGUGACUGUGGGAAGAAACAGGAACAUACCUGUAGACUGAAGAAAGAAAAGGGGACCCAAUCCUGCAUUUUGUAAGAUUAUCUUAUUAAAAGUAAUUUUAAAAAGCAGGGUUUUUCUUCUGCUUGCUGGUUCUGUGGUUUUUAUUUUUGCUUUUGCCUAUUCUGACCAAAACAGAAAAAAAAACCUCAACAUUGGAGACUAAAACUGGGCCCCAACCUUUGGGCAGCUCUCAGCACGGUUAGCACUUGGGAAGGGCUGGAAAAUGAGGGGCUCUGCAAGGAGAUAAAAUGUAGGAAUCAAAACAACGAACAGAACAAGCCAGAGCACUGGCCAGGCAGGGCACUUGUGGGAAGGCUCAGAAUGGAAAUGCUGAGGAAAUCUCAUUUCUGAAAUUCACUCCUGGAAACAUCAGUGAGUGACAGACACCAAAAACGAGGGGGCACCGCGUGUCUUGAAAGCACGGCACAAAUCUACACCUGUUUUGCUGCUUUCCAGAAAGUGUCGGGCACGGGGCAGGGAAUAAUACACCAUCCUCUCAAGCCUUCAUUUCGCAGCACCCUAAAAUAUACCACUGUCAUGGAAAAGAAAAUCAAGUGAAUAAACGUCCCAAUUUAUAUAUAUUUGAAUAGGUAACGAGAACAAUUUUACUGUUUGCCAUAAAUGAAAAAAAAAAACCACCAAAUCACUGCUCUGAUUGAGGUUCUGAAGCUCUGUUUAUGGCUGCAAAGCGAUUUGGUACAAAAAAAAAAGAAAAAAAGAAAAAAAGAAAAAAAAAAGAAUUACACAUUUUGAG
ensembl:lncRNA